GGAAACUGGGUCUAAUACCGAAUAUUCCUUACUGGCUGCAUGGUCUGGUAGGGGAAAGCUUUUGCGGUGUGGGAUGGGCCCGCGGCCUAUCAGCUUGUUGGUGGGGUGAUGGCCUACCAAGGCGACGACGGGUAGCCGGCCUGAGAGGGUGUCCGGCCACACUGGGACUGAGAUACGGCCCAGACUCCUACGGGAGGCAGCAGUGGGGAAUAUUGCACAAUGGGCGCAAGCCUGAUGCAGCGACGCCGCGUGAGGGAUGACGGCCUUCGGGUUGUAAACCUCUUUCGCCAGGGACGAAGCGCAAGUGACGGUACCUGGAGAAGAAGCACCGGCCAACUACGUGCCAGCAGCCGCGGUAAUACGUAGGGUGCGAGCGUUGUCCGGAAUUACUGGGCGUAAAGAGCUCGUAGGUGGUUUGUCGCGUUGUUCGUGAAAACUCACAGCUUAACUGUGGGCGUGCGGGCGAUACGGGCAGACUGGAGUACUGCAGGGGAGACUGGAAUUCCUGGUGUAGCGGUGGAAUGCGCAGAUAUCAGGAGGAACACCGGUGGCGAAGGCGGGUCUCUGGGCAGUAACUGACGCUGAGGAGCGAAAGCGUGGGGAGCGAACAGGAUUAGAUACCCUGGUAGUCCACGCCGUAAACGGUGGGUACUAGGUGUGGGUUUCCUUCCUUGGGAUCCGUGCCGUAGCUAACGCAUUAAGUACCCCGCCUGGGGAGUACGGCCGCAAGGCUAAAACUCAAAGGAAUUGA
rnacentral:rRNA from 1 species